rnacentral:rRNA from 1 species
GAUGAACGCUGGCGGCGUGCCUAAAACAUGCAAGUCGAGCGAACAGAUGAGGAGCUUGCUCCUCUGACGUUAGCGGCGGACGGGUGAGUAACACGUGGAUAACCUACCUAUAAGACUGGGAUAACUUCGGGAAACCGGAGCUAAUACCGGAUAAUAUAUUGAACCGCAUGGUUCAAUAGUGAAAGACGGUUUUGCUGUCACUUAUAGAUGGAUCCGCGCCGCAUUAGCUAGUUGGUAAGGUAACGGCUUACCAAGGCAACGAUGCGUAGCCGACCUGAGAGGGUGAUCGGCCACACUGGAACUGAGACACGGUCCAGACUCCUACGGGAGGCAGCAGUAGGGAAUCUUCCGCAAUGGGCGAAAGCUUGACGGAGCAACGCCGCGUGAGUGAUGAAGGUCUUCGGAUCGUAAAACUCUGUUAUUAGGGAAGAACAAAUGUGUAAGUAACUAUGCACGUCUUGACGGUACCUAAUCAGAAAGCCACGGCUAACUACGUG